GAAUCCACUACAGAGUUUUAAGCAAGAAGAGUAUAAUCAGAUCAACAGUUCUUAAUAGCACCCCCUUUGGCUACACUGUGAAGAACAGACUGUCAGGCAAAGGAGGAGUGGAGGAGUUCUCAUCAAGAGGCUGUAGCAGUCAUCCGGGGUGGAAACACCUCAGCUACAUAGAACGAGCACGCGCACCCUUGGGUGGAGGAGGGCACGAGGGACACACUCAGGAGACGCAGAAAUUAAGCGGACAGAUGUGGCUUGUGGGCGCAGGCUUCCGUCCCACUUGUCUUAGUGCCCGUCCCACGGGCCCUGUCUCCCACUCCUUUCCUGAAACCAGAGUAGUGAAGCAUCUAGCCAGGCGCCCUGAUUCAGGUUCCCAAGUGGCCUCUUCCUGGACAUAAGAUCCGAGGACCUUCAGAGCCGCAGGACACUCUACACAGUGAGCGGACUCCGCGCUCCCCGGCCCGCAGCUCCCGCAGGACGCGGCCUCUGUGGCUUCUGCGGCCUCCUCGCCCACCCUGGCCGGGGCUGCGCGGUUCACCUGAAUACCCUGCAGCACCCGCACCACUCGUCCAUUUCGAAAGACACAUUGUGGUCCUCGCUCUUCUCGACGGACCCCAGAAAAAGAAGAGAACAGACCCGUUAGUGAGUGGCCAAAGGAGCCGGGUCUGGAGCAGCCAGAAAGUACCAGGGCGGCUUCUGCUGCUCCAGGCACCUCCCAGUUCUGGGCCCGGUGAGGCGCGAGCCAACAAAACCACGUUCUAUUGGCCUCCAGAGGAUCGGCCAAUCACAAAUGUCGCUAGCCCGCCAUUCCUUGUGGGAAUUGUAGUCCAUGGUCUGGGGCCACGGAGACUGGCUGGACGUGGCACAGACAUGUUCCAGGUGGGGGCGCUGUUUCGCUGCCUUCAGGACACCCUGAGACUUCUGGCCCGCUGGGAACAUUUGCUGCUGGUAGUCUGUUCCUGACUCUGGUUGCAGACACCUGCCGACCAGCUGCUGUGCUUCUGUGCUAACCAUCACCUAGAGUCUCUCGUUACCAGCACUGGUCUUGAACUCAUAGACUCCAGGAAUGUUCCGGCUCCAGCCUCUUGAGUAGCCAGGAAAAUGUGGCAUCCGCAGCUGGACUCCUGACAAACACAGGCACAGAAAAUCUGGGUCACACACAGCAGAGAGGGUUCCAACCCCGGGCGGAGCGUUCCGGAGCUGAGAGCCCAGAGGAAAGCACGGCGCGCCCAGCAGCUGAGGGCGUCUCCGCGGCCACCCGAGAGGCAGGCGGGGGUUUUACAGCAGAGGAACCCAGCCCCGAGGGUGAAGAGCGGAGGGAGAAAGGCGGCGUGGGCAGCGGGCUUGCAGUUGACUCGGGCGGCCUUUCUCAGUCCCCAAAGCAGCCCACCCUGGAACUUCUGUCGCCCCGCGCGUCGGCACCUGAGUGCGCCGCCAGCCCGGACACCUGGGUCUCCUCCCCUCCACUGGGCGAUCGCCUCCUGUCUCAGUCCCCCUGCUCUCUCUAAGAGGGUUUCGGGUCGGUGGUCUCCUACCUGGAUCACGAACUCAGAGAUGGGAAGGGGACCUGAGGAAGAGAGAAGGGGAAAGGGAAAUCAAAACGAUCCCCGUGGUUACCUAGAGAGAGACUCCGGACCCGCGCAGUGCCAUCUGAGCCCUGCACAAGUCUCACUGGGAACCGCUGGCAGCUGUUUGCUUGGCCACGCUUGGACACUACGGACACUUGCUGACCAAAAACCAAACUGCGGCUCCUGACUUCACUGGACAAACAACCCGUGCCUACAGCAGCGCCUAGGGUCACAAAGACAGAAGCAAGAUCUUUGUCUUUCAAGAACCCUGGGGCGCGUGGAAAUAGAAGCAGAAAUCCCUUUAGUGCAGGAUGUGAAUGUCAGGCUUCAGAGGCCCCUAGAAGCGUCUCCCUGGGCAUCCAGUGUGGAAACAAAGCCGGAAGGCAUCCUGGAGGACAGCAGGUGGCCUGCAGAGGCCAAAUGCAGCCCUUCCACCUCCAGUAGGUCGAGGAAGCCACAGGAUGCGAGUGAUGAGUCUGGACUGGGAAACCAGUCCUAGGUCCCUCAAGGGGGCCAAGCAGAAGCAGCCUGGAGGAAGCUGACCCCGUGGAACUGGGAGGAGGGCUCCGGUGCCUGACUGUGAACAUCCUCAGGGCUAUGGGAGACUGUACAGGACAUCGGCAUUAAGGUUAAAUAAGGGAGAGCCAGUAUGACCCUGAGCUUUCUGCAGUGUCACAAGUGUUUCACUGGACUCCAGGGCCCAGCAGGGCCAGAGUCCCUGCGUAAGGAAACAAAGCUGGUGAAGGGGGAUCCCUGUGAGUUCUGGGAGCAAAUACAGGUUUUUGGGCAUCUGAAAGCUUUAGGGAUAGAGACUGAGAUGAGUGUCGUCAGAGCCGGGCUUGCAAGAUGCAGCCACAGCCUCAGAUAAGCCCUGAAUUCCUCCCCUUAGAGCAAAACACCAGACACUCUCAGUAGAUUCCUGUCCUGAAAAGAAUUCCAUGUCCCAGUGUGCACCUCUGGGAUGGAACUCUGCCUUCCCACAGCCCAGGUACCAAAGGAUCCAAAUUCUGCCUGGCCCGAACCAUUCAGCAGAGGUUCCCCUCCUGAGUCCUGACCCAAGAGGGUGUCAGCACCUGCUCUUUCCCAGCACUCUGAGACUGAAAACUAAGGGCAGGCUGAGCACUGGGACAGGGACUCAGGCCAUAUGUCCUGGAACUUCUCUCAAACUUGAGCUCACGAUUUUAUUUAGAACUCAGUGAGUGUGCAUAACCAUUUCCCAGGCCUCCUUGGGGCCCAGGAGCAAAACUGACACAAGAGGCCCUGAAAUUCAGUUUGGAUCACACAUACAGACACAAACACACCUUGUCCUCUCCUAGAGAGUCCACAACCGCAUGCAACUUCCUAUGAGAUCAUUCUCUAAGCCAAAUAACUGACAAAUACUCCAUGGCCUCCUGCACUCAAGAGAAACUGCUGACACCCACUUGCACACUUGCACACUUGAGAUCGUGAUCUGCCUGUCCUCUCCCUGUGAGGCUUGUCACAUGAGACAGGAGAGGGACAUGGAAACAGGGUCCCUCCUCUGCACACGGUACCCUCACUAUGUGUCCAGCAAAUCCCCGGGCUGCCGGGGAUUUGUGAGACAAUGGCAGACCAGGGACACAAUCCUCUGUUCCCAGUAUCUCCCAGUGAAGUUCCCCGCUGAAGCCUGUUCCUAAACCCACAGCAAUUUCUAGCAACUCUUGUGACCUGGGACACAGAUCACUAUAAUCAUUACAACCACACAUGCCUUGCAAAAUCAUGCAAGGCACUGGAACUGAACACUUCUUAAAGAACAAAGCCUAAUGCAAAGGGAAGUAAGGGGCCCAGGCUAUUUCUGCAGGCCUUGCCCUGCCCAUCUCUUUCCCUAGCCCAAGCCGGGCGGCUUCCUCCCAGGCCUGGGCAUCUCACCUGGGCUCUACUUGCCACCCUAUCCUCUUUCCCCAACCUCUUUGAAAAUAUACCAGAGAGUCCUGAGUGUUUAUUUUCUUUCUAAAUACCAACUAAAUUCAGAAUUAAUAUUUUGAUAUGGAUUAAAAAGUCACCUAGUAAAAAGCAAAGGAGCCAGUGUUUUUCUAUGAAGAUUCACUGUGGAAUGAGGGAGGGUUACACAGACGGCUCAGCCUGGGUCAGCAUUUCCUUGUCCUGGAAUGAAGUCUGUGAACCCCAUCGGAGCAGGCCAAGCUGUGUGGACAGGAGGCUGACCCUGGGCUCUGUCCUCCGGUGCCCUGACCUGGGUAUUUGGUGUGUGUGAUGUCAUUUAACCCUGUAAGGCAGGGGAUAUUACUAUCACUGUUUCAGAUGAAACUGAGGCUCGGGGUAGUUAAAUGAAUUGUCCAAGCUUGCCCAGCUAGUAAAGACUGGAGCCUGGAUUUGAGGUGAGAGAGUGUUUCAUUACCUGAUGCUACUCAGGCACCUUUACCUGCAAUGUGAUUGUAAUAACAUCUAACAUGUAUUUUUAAAAGUA